GCGGUAACACCGGCGGCCCGAGUGGUGAUCGUGAUUAUUGGGUCUAAAGGGUCCGUAGCCGGUUUGGUCAGUCCUCCGGGAAAUCUGAUAGCUCAACUAUUAGGCUUUCGGGGGAUACUGCCAGACUUGGAACCGGGAGAGGUAAGAGGUACUACAGGGGUAGGAGUGAAAUCUUGUAAUCCCUGUGGGACCACCUGUGGCGAAGGCGUCUUACCAGAACGGGUUCGACGGUGAGGGACGAAAGCUGGGGGCACGAACCGGAUUAGAUACCCGGGUAGUCCCAGCCGUAAACGAUGCUCGCUAGGUGUCAGGCAUGGCGCGACCGUGUCUGGUGCCGCAGGGAAGCCGUGAAGCGAGCCACCUGGGAAGUACGGCCGCAAGGCUGAAACUUAAAGGAAUUGGCGGGGGAGCACAACAACGGGUGGAGCCCUGCGGUUUAAUUGGACUCAACGCCGGACAACUCACCGGGGGCGACAGCAAUAUGUAGGCCAAGCUGAAGACUUUGCCUGAAUCGCUGAGAGGUGGUGCAUGG
rnacentral:rRNA from 1 species